CUUUUUGAAAAUUCACUAAAGAUGGCUAUUGCCAGUGAAGAGGUAUCAAUUUGUUCUUGAAUAAAACUCGUGAUGUCUUUCCCCAAUACUUUUUUGAGAAGCAAUAUAAAAUAUUCAAACCUUGUUUUUACAGAUACCUCACCUUUCCCUUAUUUGAAGUUCGUGCCGAUGACCAUUAAGAUUAUUGAGAUCAAAGCCUUAGUUAUACUACAAUAACUAACUAACCUGGAUUCGCCCCAGGCUAUAACUAAACCGGGUUGGAUUUUCGUAGUAAAAACGCAAAGUUCGCCCCAGAUUAACUCAACCCGUCUUGAAAGGUGGGUUAAGUGCAAUGCAAACGCAAACUUGCGGCGAACAUGGGUUAGUUUCUUCACGACGAAUGCGCAUUGACAGAAACUGCGCUGAAUGCAAAACAAAGCAAAGCGCAAAUGCAAUGUUUUCUCAUUGUACGAAGCCAGUGCUCGGAAUCAUCGUACUUUAAAGUCGAUUUAUGGUUUUCUGUAAAGUUCACAAAACAUUACACACGUUGACCGCCGCCAUUUUGUUUAUCCUCACCUUCAAUUUUGCGUGUUACGAAUGCGUCGUUACCAAACUAACCCAGGUUUGCCCUUGAUUCCGUCUACACUACAAAAUCGAUAAUUUAAAGUGUAAAUUCGUGCCGGGUUACUUUUAACCUAGGGUGAACCCAGGUUAGUUUGUAUAGUGUAAACAGGGCUCAAGAUGCCUAUUUUAAAAUGGCAGCUGUCGCCUUAUGUCUAAACUUAAACUCAUUAAAACUAUUGUAAUGCAUUCUAAAACUGCCCUAAACAUCUUAAUCACUCAGCUGUAGUCGAAAAACAACAUAUUCAGAAAUAUUCUUCACAUAAUGCAAAAACAAACACUGUUUACUAGUAUACUGUUAGAUCCCUCGCAGUAUUCAUACACAGUAUAAAUGAAGCAUUCAUUUCCAAUUCUUCACAGAAGAAAUGAGCAACCAAAUUGUUAAAGGUUGAAGAAGAGGAGUUUACUACCAAAUCUGUAAUACCAAAUAUAUUCUAUAAGUCUAGCAAACUUUCUAUGAUGUGCGGACAUUUAACUUGUUGCUCUUGUGUUCAACUAACACAAGCAGUAACAUCUGGAAAUAACUAAAUUAAUAUUUAUGAGAACUCUGAUAUUGCAAACACUUCUAAAAGAUUAAAUUCCUUUGAAUGAGCCAUUCAUUAUUGAUUAGCCUUUUUCAGUUUGAUGGAGUGAUGUGAUGAGACCCUUUUCAAUUUCAUCUUGAGUUCAAUGGCUUUAUUGGAGUCAAAACAUACUAUGUAAACACACGGUCUCAGUAUGCUCACAGUAUCAGGAGAGAAAUUAACAUUGCAGUCCACUCGAACCAACUAGUAUCGUUUGCCUAACCUAGUGAUCAAGGAUAUCAUAAUUGUGGAAUUACCUAUUUGCAGGAAGACUUUAGCUGUUGAAGAUGGGGAACAAACCCGCAAAGGAACAGAUAGAGUAUGAAACAGAGCGAGGCAGUGAUCUAGAAUGGACUAUCCUUUUGUCUCAUGACGAUGCCGGAGAAGAUUCAAAAAAAUUGAUUACAGCUUUGAAAAGAAAUGGUCAGAUAAGGCUCUUUCACAAAGAUGACUUGAAAAUUUCUUCUGCGAAUCCAGACGAAAAUGCAGACAAAUUGGUCGAUUUCAUGCAACAUUUAAGCAGUCUUCUGAUCCUUUGCACGGAUGGAUUUGAAAAGUUACUAACAGAGCGAAUUGAAGAUCCCGAAGUGAAGAUAUUUGCCGAAGUGAAGAUAUCAGGUGAAGAAGUAUACACCAAUUUUCAAAAGCUUCGCGAUCGGAUUGAUGCUGAAGGAUUGUCCAAAAAGAUAUUGAUUUUGCUGUUACCAGAACACUCAAAAAAGAAAAAAGCGCUGAUAGAUAAAGGUUUCAUUGCGGAAAAUAUUUUAGAGCUGUCUAAAGAUGGCCCAACUAAUUUAACAGGACCACUUCAUGAACAUUGGGUGGACAAGUACAUAGUUCGAAGCCUUGUGGUCCAGUCCGGUAAAGGGAAACUUUGCACGCAAACCUCUGUAGAAAAUUAAGUCCACACUAGUUUAAAGUAAAAACUGCAUAUAAGAAGCUCAUACUCUUUGAAACAGACUUUUCUUCGAAAAGCUUUUAGUAUGUGGUAAAGUGUUUGCUGUUUCAAAGCCAUUUUCAAAUUUUCUUUCUCCAAAAAUUGUUCGAAUCAGACUAUACGGUUUCGUCUAAAGAAAUAGAUUUGAAAAGAGGCUGAUGAGUUUCUUGUAAAGGAAUAGAUUUGAAAAGAGGCUGAUCGGUUACUUAUUAAAAUGAGUUUCAAAAGAAAAGAACACGAAAUGGAAAUUUUACACUUUGACAGAAUGAAAUGAGCUAUUAAAGAGCAGUUAUUCAAAUUCAGUUAGUUGAAAAAUGGUUGUUUAUGGAAAACUGCAUCUUACAAACAUUCUACUUCACAAUCUUUUUCUGUAAAUAAGCACUUAUAAGAAAUUAGAGAAACUCAGGCUCGACAGUUUCGAAUACAUUGGUGCAUAAAUUUGAAAAAGUCACCUUUAUCUUCUUAUCAGUGAGUUCCUUAUCUGUGGAUUUUUACUGCUAUCAAUUUAAACAUACACAUUCAAAUAUAUAAAUGUCAUUCAUAUUAAUUUUUGCCAAAAGCUGGAAUUUAGCUUUAAAUGUAGAAAUUACAUACCGUUUUGGUAUCAAUUUCACCUUACGCUAUUCAAUGAUCAGAUAAUGUAUGCACCUAAUAUUUGUCGUUCCUGCAUCUGAACCUAAUUCUUGUUUACAUAUAAAUACAAUAUGAAUUAAAUCGAUUGCAUGCACCAAAAAUACCUCGACAUUCAUUUCAAGGAAUUACGGAUUCGCCAGCCACUGCAAACUAAACACACGGCUAUUUUUGCUUUUUAUUCAUCAAAUCGAACGAGGAAAUUUCAAAAAGCAAAAACCGAUUCCUUAGCAAUGAAAUUAGUGA